AAGAUCAUACUUCACAGGAUCAUUUCUGUAGUAUAUCUUCACAUCCUCUCUACUCAAUUGUGGAGUCGAUACAGCCAUGAUGAUGAGGAAUAAUCCUCUUCUCUGAGCGUGAGGACGGCUGGAGGACUUGACUUAUGUCGAGAACUCGGUCAUCGAUGAUCGUUCACUUCUUGGACUUAGUCCACGAAGCAAGAGAAGUGGAUAUUCUGAGUGGU